CACACACACACACACACACACACACACACACACACACACACACACACACACACACACACACACACACACACACGUUUAAUUACAUUUCUGUCAUUUACAGCCAAUAAUAAUCAUGUGCAUACGCUAAGUGGUCUGAACAGUAACAUGCAACUGGGCUGAUUGCAUGCAUUUUCUAUCAGUCAAUCAAUCAAUCAAUCAAUGAAAUGUAUUUAUGAAGUCCUUUUUACAUCAGCCGAUGUCACAAAGUGCUAUACAGAAACCCACCCCAAAACCCCAAACAGCAAGCAAUGCAGAUGUAGAAGUUAUUGAGUAAAUAUGGUGAGAGCAAAGGAAGAGGGGGAAGGUGCCUGUUGAAGUACAGAUAGAGGGCCGUGGUGAUGUUGAAGUGCAGAUAGAGGGCCGCGGUGGUGUUGAAGUACAGAUAGAGGGCCGUGGUGAUGUUGAAGUGCAGAUAGAGGGCCGCGGUGAUGUUGAAGUGCAGGUAGAGGGCCAUGGUGGUGUUGAUGUGCAGAUAGAGGGCCGUGGUGGUGUUGAAGUGCAGAUAGAGGGCCCUGGUGGUGUUGAUGUGCAGGUAGAGGGCCAUGGUGGUGUUGAAGUGCAGGUAGAGAGCCGCGGUGGUGUUGAUGUGCAGGUAGAGGGCCCUGGUGGUGUUGAUGUGCAGAUAGAGGGCCGUGGUGGUGUUGAAGUGCAGGUAGAGAGCCGCGGUGGUGUUGAUGUACAGAUAGAGGGCCGCGGUGGUGUUGAAGUGCAGAUAGAGGGCCGUGGUGGUGUUGAAGUGCAGAUAGAGGGCCGUGGUGGUGUUGAAGUGCAGGUAGAGGGCUGCGGUGGUGUUGAAGUGCAGAUAGAGGGCCGUGGUGGUGUUGAAGUGCAGAUAGAGGGCCCUGGUGGUGUUGAAGUGCAGAUAGAGGGCCCUGGUGGUGUUGAAGUGCAGAUAGAGGGCCGUGGUGACCAAGAUCAGCAGCACUACUACCAGUCUGAUAGUGAAAGCUGUCAUAGGAGAGGCUGCAACAGAAACACAUUUGAUAAGGAAGUGGAUUGAUUAUCAUGAGAUCCGUCUAGGGAAACUCUGACAAAGUAAAAAGUCUGGUUCGUUCUCAAUUACCUGUGACAGUGAGGGAGAGGAGCUCACUCUCAGAGGAGAUGUUAUGAGACUACUUGGACAAAAAAAAUACGCUUUGUGACACUGUGAAGAAGCAUUAUGGCCAUCAUAAUCCUAUAACCCAGGCCUCUCACGUACAUGCCCUUAUGUCAGUCAUCAGUUAAAAAGAGGGUGUCUUGUCCUGCUCCUGAAAUCUGCUCCUGCAUUCAUCCCAGUCAUCAGAAACACAGCAUUGGGGUAGGUGCAUGUCUGACAUCAAUGUGUGCACAAUUACAAUGAUAAUUUAAUAUGGUAAUAAAAAAAAUAUAUGUAUACAACGGAAAUAUACCGUUGAACGGUAUGGUGUAAUGGAAUGUUUUGCCUUUUGUGGUAGGUUUUUGGGGUUUUGAAACUUAUGUAGAUGUCGUAAAAAGUUAGACUUUUGAAUCAUCUGUCCAUAGAAUAUUCUUCCAAUAGUAUUGAGGAUCAUCCAGGUGCUUCCAGGUACUUUUUGGCAAACUUGAGUCAACUUUUUGGACAACAUGGGUCCCAUUAUGUCUGGUGAAAACCAAACACUGCAUAGCACAGUAAAAACCUCAUACCAAUGGUCAAGCAUGGUGGUGGUGGUAGUGUGAUGGUUUGGAGAUGCUUUGCUGCCUCAGGACCUGGACGACUUGCCUUAAUAGAAGGUACCAUGAAUUCUGCUCUGUAUCAGUGAAUUCUACAGGAGAAUGUCAGGCCAUCCGUCUGUGAGCUGAAGCUGAAGGACAGCUGGGUCACGCAGCAAGACAACAAUCCUUAACACACAAUCAAGUCUAUAUGAAAAUGGCUAAAAAGCUACACAUUUGAAGUUUUGGAAUGGCCUAAUCACAGUCCAGACCUAAUCCCAAUUGAGAUAUGGCAGGAUUUGAAACGAGCAGUUCAUGCUUGAAAAAGCUAUUGAGUGUAAGGGGCCAAUUACUUUUCACACAGGGGCAUUGGGUGUUGCAAAACUUUGUUAAUUAAAUUGUGUUAUUUGUGCAAUUGUGUUAUUUGUUCACUCAGGUUCUCUUUAUCUAAUAUUAGCUUUUGGUUGAAGAUUUGAUAAUGUUCAGUAUCAACAAUAUAGAAAAACAAGUAAAUACUUUUUCACGGUACUGUAUACACUAUGUGUCAUGACAGUGUUUUGACAUAUUAUGACAUGGUUAUGACCGUAUCAUAACGUGUUAUGACGCUGGGUGUCAAGUUAAGUGUUACCACAGAAUCCUACCUGUGCUCCAGGACAGGGCCAUCAGUAUCACUGCAGGUAUCAUAUCUGUCUGUAACUGGGGCUCCACUGAGCUGUGUUAGCUUGGUGGCUGAAGAGUUGACUGAAGAGUGGAGUGGACUUGUAUAUCACCGCUUAUAUUUACAUUGACUGGAGAGUGCAGUGGAUUUAUAUCAUACAUCUUCUUGCGUUCUCAUUUCCUCAUGCUAAUAACAAACCUACUGCUCUUACAACUGAUCUGUGAUCAGUGUUGGUAGCCACCACAGGAAACAACUCACCAGUUUACCACUGUUUAUUUUAAAUGCUGCUACAUCCUCUGCUGACGUUGAUAGGAAGAAACACUGAUCACAGAUUAUCUAGAAAUGUAUCAAGACUGGUGAGAGUAUCUGCAGGUGUACCUAUAAAGUACUGUAUGCAGAUCUGUCCUUAACCUAGUCUACACGUCAAUAAUCAAAUGAGAAAAUCUGCCAAUCAGAUCUCACUUGGUCAAUAAAUAAUCAGAUCAAUGCAGAAACAGAGUGUUCCUUUGUCUUUAUUUCUGGGAUAGUCACCUGUUCAAGUGUCUGGGGGUAAGGAAUGUUUCCUGGUCCCAGGUCUGUUUGUGUUGUCUGUCCAACUCCUAUUAUGAAAUUGUUGAAGUCGUUGGUGAGACAGCACCAACAGAUCUGGGACCAAGCUACAUCAGAUGCUCCUUCUUGUGCAUUUCAAUGAACCGGAGUCUCAAAUGUAGUUCACUACGAUCUCCACCCUUUAUUUCAAUCCUGUGUGACGUAGACCUGACCAAGUACCCAAUGGACAGACAGGUGUUGACCCUGCAUCUGGAGAGCUGUGAAUAGCCCACC
rnacentral:lncRNA from 1 species